AUCUCCAUAACAGCCACUUUGUUUCAUUACUUAUUAACAGAUCCUCCUUGAGUGAAGUUCUUUGUUAAUGGAGCUUUAAAAACAGAUUUCUCUCCCCCCUCCCCACCCUUGUUUCUGCCAUGGGGGUGGGGAUCUGUGCUGAUUUGAAAUCCUCCCGUGCACUUGCUUGCCCUACCGUGGGGAGGCUUCUCUUCUCUUCAAGACUGGCCCUUGUGGAGGUAUCAUUUGGAUUCAUGGCAGAAUGGCAAGGAGAUACAAAAGACCACAGUAUGCAUUUCUCUGUUUCCAUGCCAACGGUGUUUUAGGUACUGCGAGACUGUACUUUUGGCUCUCGGGACAUGCUCCUUCCUGUGGCAGACUCUGCUUCCGAUCUGCGUCUGACAUGUUUCAAUGCUUGCAGCUGCCUCCUCAGUGCUGCCUUCCAAAGCCUUGAAUUAAGGCUGCACCUGUUUGGGAUU